UGAGGAAUAUUGGUCAAUGGGCGAGAGCCUGAACCAGCCAAGUAGCGUGCAGGAUGACGGCCCUAUGGGUUGUAAACUGCUUUUAUGUGGGGAUAAAGUGCGUGACGUGUCAUGCAUUGCAGGUACCACAUGAAUAAGGACCGGCUAAUUCCGUGCCAGCAGCCGCGGUAAUACGGAAGGUCCGGGCGUUAUCCGGAUUUAUUGGGUUUAAAGGGAGCGUAGGCUGUCUAUUAAGCGUGUUGUGAAAUAUACCGGCUCAACCGGUGAAUUGCAGCGCGAACUGUUUGGCUUGAGUGCACGGUAAGCAGGCGGAAUUCAUGGUGUAGCGGUGAAAUGCUUAGAUAUCAUGAGGAACUCCGAUUGCGAAGGCAGCUUGCUGCAGUGCGACUGACGCUGAUGCUCGAAGGUGCGGGUAUCAAACAGG
rnacentral:rRNA from 1 species